rnacentral:rRNA from 1 species
AGUGAACGCUGGCGGUAGGCCUAACACAUGCAAGUCGAACGGCAGCACAGGAGAGCUUGCUCUCUGGGUGGCGAGUGGCGGACGGGUGAGGAAUACAUCGGAAUCUACUUUUUCGUGGGGGAUAACGUAGGGAAACUUACGCUAAUACCGCAUACGACCUACGGGUGAAAGCAGGGGAUCUUCGGACCUUGCGCGAUUGAAUUAGCCGAUGUCGGCUGAGCUAGUUGGCGGGGUAAAGGCCCACCAAGGCGACGAUCCGUAGCUGGUCUGAGAGGAUGAUCAGCCACACUGGAACUAAGACACGGUCCAGACUCCUACGGGAGGCAGCAGUGGGGAAUAUUGGACAAUGGGCGCAAGCCUGAUCCAGCCAUACCGCGUGGGUGAAGAAGGCCUUCGGGUUGUAAAGCCCUUUUGUUGGGAAAGAAAUCCAGCUGGUUAAUACCCGGUUGGGAUGACGGUACCCAAAGAAUAAGCACCGGCUAACUUCGUGCCAGCCGCCGCCGUAA